UACGUAGGCAGCGAGCGUUGUUCGGAUUCAUUGGGCGUAAAGGGUGCGUAGGUGGCGCCGUAAGUCAGGUGUGAAAUCUCGGGGCUUAACUCCGAAACUGCAUUUGAUACUGCGGUGCUUGAGGACUGGAGAGGAGACUGGAAUUUACGGUGUAGCAGUGAAAUGCGUAGAGAUCGUAAGGAAGACCAGUGGCGAAGGCGGGUCUCUGGACAGUUCCUGACACUGAGGCACGAAGGCCAGGGGAGCAAACGGG
rnacentral:rRNA from 1 species